CAAUAGCGUAUAUUUAAGUUGUUGCAGUUAAAAAGCUCGUAGUUGGAUUUCGGGUGGGACGCAGCGGUCUCGCAUUGCGUUUGUACUGCUGCAGCCCUCCUUCUUGCCGGGGGCGGCCUCUCGGACUUCACUGUCUGGGGGUCAGAAUCGGCGAUGUUACUUUGAGUAAAUUAGAGUGUUCAAAGCAAGCUUACGCUCUGAAUAUAAUAGCAAGGGAUAACACGACAGGACUCUGGCCUAUCGUGUUGGUCUAUAGGACCAGAGUAAUGAUUAAGAGGGACAGUCGGGGGCAUUCGUAUUCCGUUGUCAGAGGUGAAAUUCUUGGAUUUACGGAAGACGAACAUCUGCGAAAGCAUUUGCCAAGGAUGUUUUCAUUGA
rnacentral:rRNA from 1 species